rnacentral:misc_RNA from 1 species
UAAAGCUACAGAGCAUCCAUCUCCGAGAUACAAUCGGAAGUAAUUUAGCCGGACUUUUUCAUUGUGUUCGCGAGAAAACGCCCGGUGAACACCAAAGGGUGCGUGGGGUCCGUCCAUUGGUUCGUUGGACUAAUGCAACAAUUGAUCACGAGCAUGUGACAAGAAGAUUAUAGCUGACACGCUGGCACAGGUGAGACACGCUCUCUGAAGUCAGUUUGAUCGAAGACAGGGAAAGCAUUUCAUAUUCGUUCCAAACGUUCACCGACAAAAUAUGGUAACUGGUGCGGAUUGAAGACGACCGGCAUCGGCUUGGACUGCUGUACCUGUGCCAACACAAUAGAAGAAUGCAGGGCUUGUCUUCCACCCAAAGACCAAUUGGACGAAAUGUGCCUCAGACACGACAUGUGUCUCUGUGAUCAACCACCGUCAAAUGUUCUCCACAAAUGCUACUGCGAGAGAGAGGUUUACAACAAUAUUAAAGGAUCCUCCGUGUGUCGGCAAUACAGCGGCUGGAAAAAUCUUCUCAAGCGUGCUCAGUGUUCAACCUACGCCGCCUCCAUGGUCGCGCUUUUUGGGGGAUUACCCUGCUGGUGUGACUCUAAACAGAAAUAUGUUCCUAAUUUUUCUAGUUGCUAAAAACCAAAUAGUUUGUUAACUUACAGGAGCACGACAAAAACAAUGGGGAUGAAGACGGUCAUCGCUUACUUUCCUUGGAUAAUAAGGUUAUAUUCAGGCUGUGCCCUCGUACGAUUUUAUACACAUUUAACUAAUGUGGGUGAAACGUCGUCUUUUUCAAAUUAUCAUAAUUGCUUACUGCUUUAAUGACAUAAUAUAUAAUUACGUAAUAUUA